AGUCGAACGGAAAGGCCCCUUCGGGGGUACUCGAGUGGCGAACGGGUGAGUAACACGUGGGCAAUCUGCCCUGCACUUCGGGAUAAGCCUGGGAAACUGGGUCUAAUACCGGAUAGGACCUUUAGGCGCAUGUCUUUAGGUGGAAAGCUUUUGCGGUGUGGGAUGGGCCCGCGGCCUAUCAGCUUGUUGGUGGGGUGAUGGCCUACCAAGGCGACGACGGGUAGCCGGCCUGAGAGGGUGUCCGGCCACACUGGGACUGAGAUACGGCCCAGACUCCUACGGGAGGCAGCAGUGGGGAAUAUUGCACAAUGGGCGCAAGCCUGAUGCAGCGACGCCGCGUGGGGGAUGACGGCCUUCGGGUUGUAAACCUCUUUCACCAUCGACGAAGGUCCGGGUUUUCUCGGAUUGACGGUAGGUGGAGAAGAAGCACCGGCCAACUACGUGCCAGCAGCCGCGGUAAUACGUAGGGUGGCGAGCGUUGUCCGGAAUUACUGGGCGUAAAGAGCUCGUAGGUGGUUUGUCGCGUUGUUCGUGAAAUCUCACGGCUUAACUGUGAGCGUGCGGGCGAUACGGGCAGACUAGAGUACUGCAGGGGAGACUGGAAUUCCUGGUGUAGCGGUGGAAUGCGCAGAUAUCAGGAGGAACACCGGUGGCGAAGGCGGGUCUCUGGGCAGUAACUGACGCUGAGGAGCGAAAGCGUGGGGAGCGAACAGGAUUAGAUACCCUGGUAGUCCACGCCGUAAACGGUGGGUACUAGGUGUGGGUUUCCUUCCUUGGGAUCCGUGCCGUAGCUAACGCAUUAAGUACCCCGCCUGGGGAGUACGGCCGCAAGGCUAAAACUCAAAGGAAUUGACGGGGGCCCGCACAAGCGGCGGAGCAUGUGGAUUAAUUCGAUGCAACGCGAAGAACCUUACCUGGGUUUGACAUGCACAGGACGCGUCUAGAGAUAGGCGUUCCCUUGUGGCCUGUGUGCAGGUGGUGCAUGGCUGUCGUCAGCUCGUGUCGUGAGAUGUUGGGUUAAGUCCCGCAACGAGCGCAACCCUUGUCUCAUGUUGCCAGCGGGUAAUGCCGGGGACUCGUGAGAGACUGCCGGGGUCAACUCGGAGGAAGGUGGGGAUGACGUCAAGUCAUCAUGCCCCUUAUGUCCAGGGCUUCACACAUGCUACAAUGGCCGGUACAAAGGGCUGCGAUGCCGCAAGGUUAAGCGAAUCCUUUUAAAGCCGGUCUCAGUUCGGAUUGGGGUCUGCAACUCGACCCCAUGAAGUCGGAGUCGCUAGUAAUCGCAGAUCAGCAACGCUGCGGUGAAUACGUUCCCGGGCCUUGUACACACCGCCCGUCACGUCAUGAAAGUCGGUAACACCCGAAGCCAGUGGCCUAACCCUUGGGAGGGA
rnacentral:rRNA from 1 species